UACGGGGGGGGGCAAGCGUUGUUCGGAAUUACUGGGCGUAAAGGGCUCGUAGGCGGCCAACUAAGUCGGAUGUGAAAUCCCCAGGCUCAACCUGGGAACUGCAUCCGAUACUGGAUGGCUUGAAUUCGGGAGAGGGAUGCAGAAUUCCAGGUGUAGCGGUGAAAUGCGUAGAUAUCUGGAGGAAUACCGGUGGCGAAGGCGGCAUCCUGGACCGACAUUGACGCUGAGGAGCGAAAGCGUGGGGAGCAAACAGG
rnacentral:rRNA from 1 species